UUAAGCGACUAAGCGUACACGGUGGAUGCCCUGGCAGUCAGAGGCGAUGAAGGGCGUGCUAAUCUGCGAUAAGCGCCGGUAAGGUGAUAUGAACCGUUAUAACCGGCGAUACCCGAAUGGGGAAACCCAGUGUGACUCGUCACACUAUCAUUAACUGAAUCCAUAGGUUAAUGAGGCGAACCGGGGGAACUGAAACAUCUAAGUACCCCGAGGAAAAGAAAUCAACCGAGAUUCCCCCAGUAGCGGCGAGCGAACGGGGGAGGAGCCCAGAGCCUGAAUCAGCAUGUGUGUUAGUGGAAGCGUCUGGAAAGGCGCGCGAUACAGGGUGACAGCCCCGUACACAAAAGCGCAUGUGCUGUGAGCUCGAUGAGUAGGGCGGGACACGUGGUAUCCUGUCUGAAUAUGGGGGGACCAUCCUCCAAGGCUAAAUACUCCUGACUGACCGAUAGUGAACCAGUACCGUGAGGGAAAGGCGAAAAGAACCCCGGCGAGGGGAGUGAAAAAGAACCUGAAACCGUGUACGUACAAGCAGUGGGAGCACAGGUUUACCUGUGUGACUGCGUACCUUUUGUAUAAUGGGUCAGCGACUUAUAUUCUGUAGCAAGGUUAACCGCAUAGGGGAGCCGGAGGGAAACCGAGUCUUAAUUGGGCGUUAAGUUGCAGGGUAUAGACCCGAAACCCGGUGAUCUAGCCAUGGCAGGUUGAAGGUUGGGUAACACUAACUGGAGGACCGAACCGACUAAUGUUGAAAAAUUAGCGGAUGACCUGUGGCUGGGGGUGAAAGGCCAAUCAAACCGGGAGAUAGCUGGUUCUCCCCGAAAGCUAUUUAGGUAGCGCCUCGUGAACUCAUCUCCGGGGGUAGAGCACUGUUUCGGCUAGGGGGCCAUCCCGGCUUACCAACCCGAUGCAAACUGCGAAUACCGGAGAAUGUUAUCACGGGAGACACACGGCGGGUGCUAACGUCCGUCGUGAAGAGGGAAACAACCCAGACCGCCAGCUAAGGUCCCAAAGUCAUGGUUAAGUGGGAAACGAUGUGGGAAGGCCCAGACAGCCAGGAUGUUGGCUUAGAAGCAGCCAUCAUUUAAAGAAAGCGUAAUAGCUCACUGGUCGAGUCGGCCUGCGCGGAAGAUGUAACGGGGCUAAACCAUGCACCGAAGCUGCGGCAGCGACGCUUAUGCGUUGUUGGGUAGGGGAGCGUUCUGUAAGCCUGUGAAGGUGGCCUGUGAGGGUUGCUGGAGGUAUCAGAAGUGCGAAUGCUGACAUAAGUAACGAUAAAGCGGGUGAAAAGCCCGCUCGCCGGAAGACCAAGGGUUCCUGUCCAACGUUAAUCGGGGCAGGGUGAGUCGACCCCUAAGGCGAGGCCGAAAGGCGUAGUCGAUGGGAAACGGGUUAAUAUUCCCGUACUUGGUGUUACUGCGAAGGGGGGACGGAGAAGGCUAUGUUGGCCGGGCGACGGUUGUCCCGGUUUAAGCGUGUAGGUGUGUGUUCCAGGUAAAUCCGGUUCACUUUAACACUGAGGCGUGACGACGAGGCACUACGGUGCUGAAGCAACAAAUGCCCUGCUUCCAGGAAAAGCCUCUAAGCAUCAGGUAACAUCAAAUCGUACCCCAAACCGACACAGGUGGUCAGGUAGAGAAUACCAAGGCGCUUGAGAGAACUCGGGUGAAGGAACUAGGCAAAAUGGUGCCGUAACUUCGGGAGAAGGCACGCUGACACGUAGGUGAAGUGAUUUACUCAUGGAGCUGAAGUCAGUCGAAGAUACCAGCUGGCUGCAACUGUUUAUUAAAAACACAGCACUGUGCAAACACGAAAGUGGACGUAUACGGUGUGACGCCUGCCCGGUGCCGGAAGGUUAAUUGAUGGGGUCAGCGCAAGCGAAGCUCCUGAUCGAAGCCCCGGUAAACGGCGGCCGUAACUAUAACGGUCCUAAGGUAGCGAAAUUCCUUGUCGGGUAAGUUCCGACCUGCACGAAUGGCGUAAUGAUGGCCAGGCUGUCUCCACCCGAGACUCAGUGAAAUUGAACUCGCUGUGAAGAUGCAGUGUACCCGCGGCAAGACGGAAAGACCCCGUGAACCUUUACUAUAGCUUGACACUGAACAUUGAGCCUUGAUGUGUAGGAUAGGUGGGAGGCUUUGAAGUGUGGACGCCAGUCUGCAUGGAGCCGACCUUGAAAUACCACCCUUUAAUGUUUGAUGUUCUAACGUGGACCCGUUACCCGGGUUGCGGACAGUGUCUGGUGGGUAGUUUGACUGGGGCGGUCUCCUCCUAAAGAGUAACGGAGGAGCACGAAGGUUGGCUAAUCCUGGUCGGACAUCAGGAGGUUAGUGCAAUGGCAUAAGCCAGCUUGACUGCGAGCGUGACGGCGCGAGCAGGUGCGAAAGCAGGUCAUAGUGAUCCGGUGGUUCUGAAUGGAAGGGCCAUCGCUCAACGGAUAAAAGGUACUCCGGGGAUAACAGGCUGAUACCGCCCAAGAGUUCAUAUCGACGGCGGUGUUUGGCACCUCGAUGUCGGCUCAUCACAUCCUGGGGCUGAAGUAGGUCCCAAGGGUAUGGCUGUUCGCCAUUUAAAGUGGUACGCGAGCUGGGUUUAGAACGUCGUGAGACAGUUCGGUCCCUAUCUGCCGUGGGCGCUGGAGAACUGAGGGGGGCUGCUCCUAGUACGAGAGGACCGGAGUGGACGCAUCACUGGUGUUCGGGUUGUCAUGCCAAUGGCACUGCCCGGUAGCUAAAUGCGGAAGAGAUAAGUGCUGAAAGCAUCUAAGCACGAAACUUGCCCCGAGAUGAGUUCUCCCUGAGACUUAGAGUCUCCUGAAGGAACGUUGAAGACGACGACGUUGAUAGGCCGGGUGUGUAAGCGCAGCGAUGCGUUGAGCUAACCGGUACUAAUGAACCGUGAGGCUUAACCUU
rnacentral:rRNA from 1 species